UUAGAUCAGAAGCGAGAAUGUUGACAUGAGUAGCGACAAACAGGGUGAGAGACCCUGUCGCCGAAAGUCCAAGGGUUCCUGCUUAAAGCUAAUCUGAGCAGGGUAAGCCGGCCCCUAAGGCGAGGCCGAAAGGCGUAGUCGAUGGGAACCACGUUAAUAUUCGUGGGCCAGGAGGAUGUGACGGAUCAGAGAGGUUGUCUGCCCUUAUCGGAUUGGGUGGGCCGCUGACUGGUUCCUGGAAAUAGCCCUCCAUCAGACCGUACCCUAAACCGACACAGGUGGACUGGUAGAGAAUACCAAGGCGCUUGAGAGAACCACAUCAAAGGAACUCGGCAAAAUGCUCCCGUAAGUUCGCGAGAAGGGAGCCCGACUUUUAGGCAACUAUAAGUCGGGGGCACAAACUAGGGGGUGGCGACUGUUUACUUAAGACAUAGGGCUGUGCGAAGCCGUAAGGCGACGUAUACAGUCUGACGCCUGCCUGUGCUGGAAGGUUAAAAGGAGGGGUGCAAGCUCUGAAUUGAAGCCCCAGUAAACGGCGGCCGUAACUAUAACGGUCCUAAGGUAGCGAAAUUCCUUGUCGGGUAAGUUCCGACCUGCACGAAUGGCGUAACGAUCUCCCCGCUGUCUCUGAUGUGGACUCAGCGAAAUUGAACUGUGUGUCAAGAUGCACACUUCCCGCGGUUAGACGGAAAGACCCCAUGAACCUUUACUCCAGCUUUGCACUGGCAUCAGGAUUGUGAUGUGCAGGAUAGGUGGUAGGCAUCGAAGCAGGGACGCCAGUUCUUGUGGAGCCUCCCUUGAGAUACCACCCUUCGCACUCUUGAUGUCUAACUGCGGCCCGUUAUCCGGGUCCAGGACCAUGCAUGGUGGGGAGUUUGACUGGGGCGGUCGCCUCCCAAACAGUAACGGAGGCGCGCGAAGGUUGGCUCAGACCGGUCGGAAAUCGGUCGUUGAGUGCAAUGGCAGAAGCCAGCCUGACUGCAAGACUGACAAGUCGAGCAGAGACGAAAGUCGGCCAUAGUGAUCCGGUGGUCCCAAGUGGGAGGGCCAUCGCUCAACGGAUAAAAGGUACUCUGGGGAUAACAGGCUGAUGAUGCCCAAGAGUCCAUAUCGACGGCAUCGUUUGGCACCUCGAUGUCGGCUCAUCUCAUCCUGGGGCUGGAGCAGGUCCCAAGGGUAUGGCUGUUCGCCAUUUAAAGAGGUACGUGAGCUGGGUUUAGAACGUCGUGGGACAGUUCGGUCCCUAUCUGCCGUGGGUGUAGGAGACUUGAGAAGAGUUGCCCCUAGUACGAGAGGACCGGGGUGAACGAACCACUGGUGGACCAGUUGUCGUGCCAACGGCAGUGCUGGGUAGCUAUGUUCGGACAGGAUAACCGCUGAAGGCAUCUAAGCGGGAAGCCCCCUUCAAAACAAGGUCUCCCUUGAGAGCCGUGGAAGACCACCACGUCGAUAGGCCAGAGGUGUAAGUGCGGUAACGCAUUCAGCUGACUGGUACUAAUUGC
rnacentral:rRNA from 1 species